GGGGGGACCACCCUCCAAGCCUAAAUACUCGUACAUGACCGAUAGCGAACACAGUACCGUGAGGGAAAGGUGAAAAGCACCCCGAUGAGGGGAGUGAAACAGUACCUGAAACCGAAUGCUUACAAGCAGUUGGAGCCUCUUUAGGGGGUGACAGCGUACCUCUUGCAUAAUGGGUCAGUGACUUAAUUUAUCGAGCAAGCUUAAGCCGUUAGGUGUAGGCGCAGCGAAAGCGAGUCUGAAAUGGGCGACUGAGUUCGAUGAAUUAGACCCGAAACCCGGCGAUCUAGGCAUGACCAGGCUGAAGGUGCGGUAACACGCACUGAAGGGCCGAACCGUUGAAUGUUGAAAAAUUCUCGGAUGAGUUGUGUUUAGGGGUGAAAGGCCAAUCAAGCCGGGAAAUAGCUGGUUCUCCGCGAAAUCUAUUGAGGUAGAGCGUCGGAUGUUUGCCGUUGGGGGUAGAGCACUGGAUGGAUGCGGGGGGUCGCGAGAUCUACCAACUCUAACCAAACUCCGAAUACCAACGAGUCUAGUCCGGCAGAC
rnacentral:rRNA from 1 species